rnacentral:rRNA from 1 species
GCUUAACACAUGCAAGUCGAGGGGCAUCAUGGUAAGUAGCAAUACUUAGUCGAUGGCGACCGGCGCACGGGUGAGUAACGCGUAUGCAACUUACCUAUCAGAGGGGGAUAGCCCGGCGAAAGUCGGAUUAAUACUCCAUAAAAUAGGGGUUCCGCAUGGGACUAUUUGUUAAAGAUUCAUCGCUGAUAGAUAGGCAUGCGUUCCAUUAGACAGUUGGCGGGGUAACGGCCCACCAAACCGACGAUGGAUAGGGGUUCUGAGAGGAAGGUCCCCCACAUUGGUACUGAGACACGGACCAAACUCCUACGGGAGGCAGCAGUGAGGAAUAUUGGUCAAUGGCCGAGAGGCUGAACCAGCCAAGUCGCGUGAAGGAUGAAGGAUCUAUGGUUUGUAAACUUCUUUUAUAGGGGAAUAAAGUGUGGGACGUGUCCCAUUUUGUAUGUACCCUAUGAAUAAGCAUCGGCUAACUCCGUGCCAGCAGCCGCGGUAAUACGGAGGGUGCGAGCGUUAUCCGGAUUUAUUGGGUUUAAAGGGUGCGUAGGUGGUAAUUUAAGUCAGCGGUGAAAGUUUGUGGCUCAACCAUAAAAUUGCCGUUGAAACUGGGUUACUUGAGUGUGUUUGAGGUAGGCGGAAUGUCGUGGUGUAGCGGUGAAAUGCAUAGAUAUCACGCAGAACUCCAAUUGCGAAGGCAGC